rnacentral:rRNA from 2 species
CCCUACUCCUACGGGAGGCAGCAGUAGGGAAUCUUCCGCAAUGGACGAAAGUCUGACGGAGCAACGCCGCGUGAGUGACGAAGGCCUUCGGGUCGUAAAGCUCUGUUGUUAGGGAAGAACAAGUACCGUUCGAAUAGGGCGGUACCUUGACGGUACCUAACCAGAAAGCCACGGCUAACUACGUGCCAGCAGCCGCGGUAAUACGUAGGUGGCAAGCGUUGUCCGGAAUUAUUGGGCGUAAAGCGCGCGCAGGCGGUCUUUUAAGUCUGAUGUGAAAGCCCACGGCUCAACCGUGGAGGGUCAUUGGAAACUGGAGGACUUGAGUGCAGAAGAGGAGAGUGGAAUUCCACGUGUAGCGGUGAAAUGCGUAGAUAUGUGGAGGAACACCAGUGGCGAAGGCGGCUCUCUGGUCUGUAACUGACGCUGAGGCGCGAAAGCGUGGGGAGCAAACAGGAUUAGAUACCCUGGUAGUCCACGCCGUAAACGAUGAGUGCUAGGUGUUGGGGGGUUCCACCCUCAGUGCUGAAGUUAACACAUUAAGCACUCCGCCUGGGGAGUACGACCGCAAGGUUGAAACUCAAAGGAAUUGACGGGGGCCCGCACAAGCAGUGGAGCAUGUGGUUUAAUUCGAAGCAACGCGAAGAACCUUACCAGGUCUUGACAUCCUCUGACA